AUUGAACGCUGGCGGCAUGCCUUACACAUGCAAGUCGAACGGCAGCAUGGAAGAGCUUGCUCUUCUGAUGGCGUGUGGCGAACGGGUGAGUAAAGCAUCGGAACGUACCGUGUAGUGGGGGAUAACGUAGCGAAAGUUACGCUAAUACCGCAUACGCACUGAGGUGGAAAGCAGGGGAUCGCAAGACCUUGCGCUAUACGAGCGGCCGAUGUCAGAUUAGCUAGUUGGUAGGGUAAAGGCCUACCAAGGCGACGAUCUGUAGCGGGUCUGGGAGGAUGAGCCGCCACACUGGGACUGAGGCACGGCCCAGACUCCUACGGGAGGCAGCAGUGGGGAAUUUUGGACAAUGGGGGAAACCCUGAUCCAGCCAUGCCGCGUGAGUGAAGAAGGCCUUCGGGUUGUAAAGCUCUUUCGGCUGGGAAGAAAUCGCACAGGCUAAUACUCUGUGUGGAUGACGGUACCAGCACAAGAAGCACCGGCUAACUACGUGCCAGCAGCCGCCGUAA
rnacentral:rRNA from 1 species